rnacentral:rRNA from 1 species
UACAGAGGGUGCGAGCGUUAAUCGGAAUUACUGGGCGUAAAGCGUGCGUAGACGGUAGCGUAAGUCAGAUGUGAAAGCCCCGGGCUCAACCUGGGAAUUGCAUUUGAGACUGCUCUGCUUGGGUGCGGAAGAGGGAAGCGGAAUUUCCGGUGUAGCGGUGAAAUGCGCAGAUAUCAGGAGGAACACCGGUGGCGAAGGCGGGUCUCUGGGCAAUAACUGACGCUGAGGAGCGAAAGCGUGGGGAGCGAACAGG